rnacentral:rRNA from 1 species
GAUGAACGCUGGCGGCGCGCUUAACACAUGCAAGUCGAACGGCACCCCUCCUCGGAGGGAAGCGAGUGGCGAACGGCUGAGUAACACGUGGAGAACCUGCCCCCUCCCCCGGGAUAGCCGCCCGAAAGGACGGGUAAUACCGGAUACCCCGGGGUGCCGCAUGGCACCCCGGCUAAAGCCCCGACGGGAGGGGAUGGCUCCGCGGCCCAUCAGGUAGACGGCGGGGUGACGGCCCACCGUGCCGACAACGGGUAGCCGGGUUGAGAGACCGACCGGCCAGAUUGGGACUGAGACACGGCCCAGACUCCUACGGGAGGCAGCAGUGGGGAAUCUUGCGCAAUGGGGGGAACCCUGACGCAGCGACGCCGCGUGCGGGACGGAGGCCUUCGGGUCGUAAACCGCUUUCAGCAGGGAAGAGUCAAGACUGUACCUGCAGAAGAAGCCCCGGCUAACUACGUG